rnacentral:rRNA from 1 species
ACGCACGCUGGCGGCAGGCCUAACCCAUGCAAGUCGCGCGAGGACUUCGGUCCUAGCGGCGGACGGGUGAGUAACGCGUGGGAACGUGCCCUUUGCUUCGGAAUAGCCCUGGGAAACUGGGAGUAAUACCGGAUGAGCCCUUUGGGGGAAAGAUUUAUCGGCGAAGGAUCGGCCCGCGUUGGAUUAGGUAGUUGGUGGGGUAAUGGCCUACCAAGCCGACGAUCCAUAGCUGGUUUGAGAGGAUGAUCAGCCACACUGGGACUGAGACACGGCCCAGACUCCUACGGGAGGCAGCAGUGGGGAAUCUUAGACAAUGGGGGAAACCCUGAUCUAGCCAUGCCGCGUGAGCGAUGAAGGCCUUAGGGUUGUAAAGCUCUUUCAGCUGGGAAGAUAAUGACGGUACCAGCAGAAGAAGCCCCGGCUAACUCCGUG